rnacentral:lncRNA from 1 species
CUGGUACCUCAGAUGGAAAUGCAGAAAUCACCGGUCUUCUGCGUCGCUCACGCUGGGAGCUGUAGACCAGAGCUGUUCCUAUUCGGCCAUCUUGGCUCGAGCCUUGGUGACUGACCUGAGGCCAUCAUUGCAGAUCCAUCCCUCUUGCCAGUGAGGGGUUCAAGCAUGGGCAUAUGACCAAUGAGACAUGAGAGGAAGUCUGCAGGGACCUUCAGGAAACAUUUCCUUGGCUCAAAGAGAGACCUCAAGGAAAGGAUGGUCUCUUCCCUUCUAGAUACUGUGUCAGAAUGAGAAAACUAGAACUGCUGCAGCUGUAUUUCUACCAGCCUGAGAAUGGAGCCUAAACUAAGAAUGGAUGAGAAGAGGUGAAAUGAUCCUGAAUCCUUGAUGACAUCACCAAGUCAACCGAACUUGAAGGCUGCCUUGUCUCUGGACCUCUUGCUAUGUGGAAUAAUGGAUAGUUUAAGCCUGUUGGAAUCCAGAUUUUUAUGAUGUGCAGCAAAACCUAUUCUCCUGAUAACAUACUAGGAGCACCAAUAAAAUUUAGAUCUAAAAAGGGACUGAUUAUAGUUAAGCUUAUGCAGACAUACCUAGGAAGAAAAUCAGAAGAUUUAAGAAAAACUUAGAAUAAACAGCAAGGCCUACUUUUACACUGGUUCUUGUGAAGGACUAAUUUGGCACCAAAAUCAAGAUGUCACAGGAAGGGGAACAUCACACACCGGGG